CGUGUUUCCAAAAGACUGCGGUUCUGUGUGUGUAAAGACAACAGUGCACGUAACUACGCAGCGACGCGGAAGUGAGAACGGGACAAUCGUUCACCGGAAUGCAGCCUUCCUUCUAGUGGUGUGGGGGUGCUGUGGCACUGAAAAUGGUACAAUGGCAGCAAUUGAGUGUUCUUUAAGAUCAUCACACACUGACAGAUGUUCUGGGGCUGCCAGUCACAUGUAUGGCUCCUCUAUGGCAAACCAGCGCAUUGAAAGUCGGCAGUCAUACAUACCGAAAACUGAGGUCUCAAUUCUGGAUGGACCUGAUAAGUGACCUGAGGAAGAAACAUCUCUUCAGUGGCAGUCAUGAGCACAUGUGGCAACUGUCAUUGUUUCCUGCACAUGUAUAAAUACAUUUUGUUACCUGCCUGUCUUUGUGCUGCUAUUGGGUCCAAACCACACCAUUACAGUUAAACACUCACAAUGUCUAUCUGGUAAAACUGAUAUGUACAACCUGUGAGGCAGGUUUGUUUUUUAAAGACUAAAUGUUUGCAUUUACCAUUUUAAUUUAAUAAUUAUCUUGAAAUGCAAUAAAUUAAGUAGUUUUCAAGCAGUUAAAAAAAAUUAAAA